rnacentral:rRNA from 1 species
UACGGAGGGUGCAAGCGUUGUCCGGAAUCACUGGGCGUAAAGGGCGCGUAGGCGGCUCAUGAAGGCUGUGGUGAAAGUCUGGGGCUCAACCUCGGAUCGGCCGUGGCGACUCGUGGGCUGGAGCACUGUAGAGGCGGGUGGAAUUCCGGGUGUAGCGGUGGAAUGCGUAGAGAUCCGGAAGAACACCGGUGGCGAAGGCGGUCUGCUGGGCAGUUGCUGACGCUGAUGCGCGACAGCGUGGGGAGCAAACAGG